UCCCUGGUGGUCCAGUGGAUAAGACUCUGCACUCCCAAUACAGGGGGCCCAGGUUCAAUCCCUGGUCAAGGAA
rnacentral:tRNA from 1 species